AACCAACAGCCUUUGGGGAGCAACACCUGCAGUUACAUUCAAAGGCAUGACUUUUCCAAGCAGUUUGUGAGCUGGCCGGCAUUGUCCCCAAAAGGAUAAAGGCCUAGGUUCUUUACCUGACUGGCAGAAGCAUUCCAGCACCACGAAAGGACUCUAAACAUUGUUUUCUUCAACAAAGAUUCCCAGAGUCGUGGGCCAUACUCUUAACACUGAAGUGCAUAGAACUUGGCAGAAAUCUACACUUCAGAGAUAAUAACAUAUCAUUCCAUGAAAUAAAGGAAAAGGCAUAAUCAAAAAAAGAAGUUAAAUAUGGAAACCUGUUUUGACAACAAAUGAAUGCAGUUGAAGCCAGACAGGAAAGGUGCUAUGUAUGCAUUUUUUUACAUGUUUCACAUAAAUUAUGAUAUUGCAAGACCCUAUCAGGUUUUUUUUUCUUAUUUUCAUGUCCUUUCAGUCAGAUGUAUUAUUUAUAUUGCUCUCCAUCUUACAUUAAAGGAAAAUUUCAAAGACUGCUGCUUUAAAAUAACAGAACAACACUUGUAAAAUCUGUCAACAUUAUAUAUGGCUCAUUCACCAGUUGCAUUUCAUUCAUUAUUAUAGUUGGGAAUUUCUCAAGGCCACUUGGAUGUCCAAUGAAAUAAAUUUAGAAUUUCUGAAUGUUGAGAAAAGGAAAAGAGAAAACAGUGUUGGUACUUAGUAGACGGAUUAUGGACAUCACCAGCAGAAACAUAUAUUCAACAAUCAUAUUUAGUUAAUAAAUAUAUUUACUGAGUUAUAAAAAGUUUCCUUAAAAUGUACACUAGGUGAAAUAUCAAGUUUCAUCAAAUGAUUAAUUAAAUGUUAUAUAAGGAACAUGUCCUGAAUUUGUGGUUACUAAAAUAAAAAUAAAACAUGUUUU
rnacentral:lncRNA from 1 species